ensembl:lncRNA
GUAAUGAAUGAAUGAAUUAAUGUCUUGAUGUCGGUGUUUGUAUCAUUUGGUCAAACGCAUCCGUCCUCCUGCUGGAGUCAAAUUAAAGAUGAAAUCCUACUUUAAGGGUUCUGAACAGAAGAUGGUUCCGUGAGUUCCUGCCGCUGUCUUUAAGGAGUGUUUUAGUUCGUAGAGGGUUAAUGAACUGGUCCACACUCCAGUACAGGACGUGCAGGCUGAUGGUACCCAGACAAAACUAAACGAAUCUUUAUUAAAUACUUGUCUUUAAUAAAGGUGCAUUUUUAUUUGUACUCUUUAUUCUGGUGUUUAUAGAUGCAAUGUGUGUGUUGGGAUUACAAAUGUAGCAGUUACGCAUAAUCAAAUACUAAGAAGUGGCAGAAUAAGCAGCUUUUACCGUCAAUUCAGUGCGGAUCUUCAACAUGUUGCACAACUCUGCUGUGCACGUGAAACCGGCCAGUAAUCACGUGACGUGUCCAACAUGGACCAAUUCAUAUCCAGAUGUUACUGGACAAAUAAUCUACCAAUCAGUAAGUCGGCAACUAUUUCGUGUUUAAUAUUAAACUGAUAAGUUUAGGAGGGCGGCACGGUGGCGUGGUGGUUAGCACUGUUGCCUCACAGCAAGAAGGUCCGAUUCCGCCCAGUGGCCUUUCUGUGUGGAGUCUGCAUGUUCUCCCCGUGUCUGCGUGGGUUCUCUCCGGGUUCUCCGGCUUCCUCCCACAGUCCAAAGACAUGCUCUGGGGAUCAGGUUAAUUGGGGACUUUAAAUUGCCCGUAGAUGUGUGAAUGUGAGUGUGAAUGGUUGUGUGUCUCUGUGUAGCCCUGCGAUUGGCUGGCGACCAAUCCAGGAUGUACCCUGUCUAUCGCCCGAAGUUGGCUGGGAUGGACUCCAGCCCCCCCGCGACCCUGUGUGCAGGAUAAGCGGUUUGACAAUGGAUGGAUGGAAACAAAGUCUGAAGAGAUGUAAAGACAUUGUUUCCUGAUGUGAUGAUGAUGAUGAUGAUGAUGAUGUUUGAGCCUCUUCUCCUCCGUCUCCUCUCACAGGGAGGAGAUGAUCUGCAGCAUCCUGGUGAUCUUCAUCCUGACCUCCUGUGUCUGUGCAGGGUCAUUUGUAGUGAAUGUGACACAGAGCUGGUAUCAUGCAGAGGAGAACCACAACAUCUCACUGGAAUGGAUGUUCCCCACCAGCACGGACCCCUCCCCCAACGUCCUUCAUGUCUCCUGUGAGACGGUAAUUAAUCAGAUACACUCAGUCCUGUUUCAUCUGUAUGAAGGUGUCGAGGUACCAGAGCUGCAGGAUGAACGCUUUGCAGGACGAGUCCAGUGGGACAAAGACGUCCUCAGAGAAGGACGACUCAGACUUCACAUCUCCAGACUCCAGACUAAUGACUCGGGGCUGUACUGGUGUCAAGUGGACACAAGUUAUGGGAGGAACUAUAAGGAAUGUCACCUCAAGGUCACUGCAGUGAAGGAUCGACCCGAACCUGAGACAACGAGUGACACCAGACUGAGAAGAGAAAGGGAAAGCAUCGUUCUCUACUGUGCACUGGGACUGACAGCAGCUCUACUGGGAUGUUUCUUUAUUUUCUAUCUGCAUAUCAAAGAAAGAUUAGUGAUCAGCACAACAAAUGAUACAUCGUUGUUAAAUUCAUCUAAGUUUUUGCACAGAAAGUGUCCAACGUCUGACAUCAAAGUAUAAAUGUGUGAUAAUUUACUGUGUACAAGUCAAAUUAAAUGUUUUCGUUACA